UUUCUCUCUCCCUCCCUUUUUAAAUGGGUCUGGUCUGGAAAGGGCUGGGGAGGUGGUGCGGGCCAAGGGUGAAGGUCGGUAGGUCUGUCCGCUGUAACCAAAACCUGGUAUAAAGUGAUUUGUAAUAAUGAGGGUUUACUGUACCAGCACAUUUCAUUGACCACCAUUCAACGCACUGAUACUAGCAUCUCAAAUCAACUGCUCUCAAGUCAGAAGGUUGUAAGCUACCCAAACAAAUAGCUUGGGUAGCUCACAACACAACAAUAUCCCCUGUGCCGCAGGAGGCGAGUGUAUUGUAGAUAAGGAUGACAACAUUGUAAUUUGAUGACUGCUUAAUAUUUGCAAACUGCCAGGCAGUUGCGAUCUUCCCAGUGCUCUGAUUAAUUGAAUAAAAGCUCCUUGUUCAGGAAAACAAAACAGUAUGACAUGGAGUUUGUUUAAGAAGGAACUGCAGAUGCUGGAAAAUCAAAGGUAGACAAAAAUGCUGGAGAAACUCAGUGGGUGAGGCAGUAUCUAUGGAGUGAAAGAAAUAGGCAACGUUUUGGGGCGAAACCCUCCUUCAGACAUAGUAUGACAUGGAGGAUACAUGGAGGACAUACAGGAGCAAAAUUUGUCAAUUCAGCCCAUCGAGUACUCGCCAGCAUCUGCUGCUCCAUGUGUCUGUCUCCCUUGUGACUGGGUUCUCUGGAUUCCUCCCACAUCCCAAGAUGUGCAGUUAGUUUGGUCAAAUAGUCACUGUAGGUGUAUGUUCUGUAUGCAACACUGAAGGUUAACAAUAAAAUGGGACCCGUGUAAAUGGGUUAAAGAAGGAACUGCAGAUGCUGG